UCACUACAUAAUUGUCACGUCUAUACUAAGACAAAUCACAUUCCCCUGGUUUUAGGAAUUAAAGUGAUAUUAUGGGCAUCUUACAGUAUAUAUGUGUCUAUCGCAACCGUUGUGGUGUUUUCACUUCAUAUACACUUAUAUUUGUUAAUGCAGCAUCAACAUUCUAAAACAAUAUCCCGGAAAGAGAAAAAUAAUCCAUUUGAAUUUCAACCGUACUUUCGUUUUGACAACUGACGACAGAAAUGAUUCGAUGUACGAUGCGAGUCUAAAUGUAGUGUUCAUGCAGAUUCGUUCAUAGGAUAAAGACACAAUUUUGUUUUACGGAUCAUUUUGGCUUAGAGGACUGGAGGGAGCAGAGCAUUGGCAUAUCGGCUGUUGAGAUCAUCCACGGAAUCUACAUGUGUUGAUGUUUUGAUGUGCAUGUACCGUUGUAUUCAUUAUCAAACAGAGAUGACGGCAAGUGUGGAAAACGAACGUUCGACUUCUUAACUGUUUCCUCACCUCAGUUUACCUGGAGUCACUCAGUGACCCUUAUAUCAGAUAUGCAGAUGAUUUGCUCUCGUUGACUACUAUGUUUGGAGUAUGUACGUUGUUUGGUUACUUUUGCAAUCUGCUAUUCUUAAGUGUCUUCUAAUUAAGCCGGGAAUGCAAAAGAAAUAAUUUCAACGUGUUUGUGAUGACAUUGGCUGUAAUAGAUCUUAUUACUUGAGUGACCAUUAUUACCGCAGGGUAGGUAAAACAAACGGGCUACUAAGAAUUUUAAAACGCGGUUCUUUGCAUAUGAAAGUGCUUCGUUUAUGUGUUUGAGCAUCAUCCUCGUGCCUAGCAUUACUAGUGUUUUCCGUGGAUCGCUACAAAAAAGGUAAUGCGGCCAUUUAAGCAACAAUUAACGCCUAAGGCAGUGGAAUAUUUUUGUUAGUUGCUAUAGUAUUCCUCCUUCAUCUUGCCAUUCCCAGUGCAUUCAUAUCUGGAAUGUAUACAACUGAUAGUGUCAACAAAUACGGUACAAACACAACAAGUCAUUCAUGUGUAGAAGAACGAUUGGAAAAACCAGUAUUAAGAAACAUUUAGAAAUUGAUGCUUUUUAUCAUCUACAUUCAAAUAAAUAAGAACAUAUGUCCAUUUUGAACACUAAAUGAAAGCGAAGACGAGUGCACUUUGUACCAAUAUGACCUUUACACGACAAUUGAAAGGGAAAUACAACUUUACCUAACGUUUACGAAAAAGGAAUCUAAACGUUUCAUUGUUUACAAAAUAUUCAAUAAGACCGGACAAUCAUUAGCGAUUAGAAUUGCACUUUUCUGAUUUAAAGAACUUGAAAUUAGAGAUAAUAUAUAGAUAUUUGAUAGUAUAACUUUUAUACCAGAAUAUACAUUUUCAACAUCUUACUGCAAACAACCAUUGUAAUCAAUUAAGAAUAGUUUACAUUCAAUACGAUUUGUGUAAAAAAACUCGAGUGUUCUAAUACACUCUCGGAAAUUGUAUACAUGUUUUUGUUAAACAUGAAUAACCAUGUGAUUGCAUGUUUGGUUUUUCACCUGUUUGCAUGUUUAUGUAUGUUUCACUUAUUGAAUGGAUGAAUUUGAGGAUGAGCUAUAGAUACUAAAGUCAUGAAUGAAAUGUUUAUGUUGUCAUGCUCUCUUAAAACGCAUUUUUGCAAAUAUUUCAGCCAAACAAUAAUCAAAUAUCCCCUCGAGGCGAAUAUGAACUGUAGGCAGUAGCAAAAACAGUUCUUGUGAAUGUACUGCUCUUCAGCUAGUCCAUUAUGUUUGUCCUGUAAAUACUAAAUGAUGCUCAGUUCGCAAUAUU